CAGUGUGUGGCAUAGUGGUUUGAGCGUUGGACUAUGACUCUGGAGACCAGGGUUUGAUUCCCCGCUGGGUGA
rnacentral:tRNA from 1 species